UACGUAGGGGGCUAGCGUUGUUCGGAUUUAUUGGGCGUAAAGGGUGCGUAGGCGGUGUGGCAAGUCAAGUGUGAAAUCUCGGAGCUCAACUUCGAAACUGCACUUGAUACUACUAUGCUAGAGGGUUGUAGAGGAGACCGGAAUUCACGGUGUAGCAGUGAAAUGCGUAGAUAUCGUGAGGAAGACCAGUUGCGAAAGCGGGUCUCUGGGCAAUUCCUGACGCUGAGGCACGAAGGCUAGGGGAGCAAACGGG
rnacentral:rRNA from 1 species